AUAAUCUUGAAGGUCAGAUUCCAUACGAGCUAGGGGAGCUAUCUCAACUUAGUGCCUUGAACUUUUCCCACAAUUGCUUGACAGGAUCCAUUCCAGCAUCUUUGUCAAACCUUACCCAAUUAGAGAGUUUCGACCUCUCUCAUAAUAAACUAAGUGGAGAGAUUCCUUCACAAUUGAUAGCUUUACACUUUCUGGAGGUAUUUUCUGUUGCUUACAACAACUUAUCAGGCAAGAUUCUUGAUAUGGGGCAAUUUAGCACAUUUGACAAUAGUAGCUAUGAAGGGAAUCCAUUUCUUUGUGGACCUCUGCUGGAGAAAAACUGCACCAUAGAUAAUGAGUCACCCCAGUCACCAACAAGGUUGGCACAUAAAGCAGAUGGCAAAUGGCAUGAAAUUGAUGAGGUAGUCUUCUUUUCAAGCUUUUCAGUAUCCUUCGUCGUAUUCUUUUUGGGAGUCAUCGCGGUCCUGUAUGUCAAUCCUUAUUGGCGACAAAAAUUGUCCUAUCAUAUUGAGAAAUUUAUAUUUUUAUGUUAUUACUUUUUGUAUGAUAUUUUAUUUAAGUGAUUUUCUUAUUUGUAUCAUUAAUGGUGUGAUAUUUGUAAACCAUUUUCAUGAAACG
rnacentral:misc_RNA from 1 species